AGGUGCUGCAUGGCUGUCGUCAGCUCGUGUUGUGAAAUGUUGGGUUAAGUCCCGCAACGAGCGCAACCCUUAUCCUUUGUUGCCAGCGGUCCGGCCGGGAACUCAAAGGAGACUGCCAGUGAUAAACUGGAGGAAGGUGGGGAUGACGUCAAGUCAUCAUGGCCCUUACGACCAGGGCUACACACGUGCUACAAUGGCGCAUACAAAGAGAAGCGACCUCGCGAGAGCAAGCGGACCUCAUAAAGUGCGUCGUAGCCCGGAUUGGAGUCUGCAACUCGACUCCAUGAAGUCGGAAUCGCUAGUAAUCGUGGAUCAGAAUGCCACGGUGAAUACGUUCCCGGGCCUUGUACGCACCGCCCGUCACACCAUGGGAGUGGGUUGCAAAAGAAGUAGGUAGCUUAACCUUCGGGAGGGCGCUUACCACUUUGUGAUUCAUGACUGGGGUGAAGUCGUAACAAGGUAACCGUAGGGGAACCUGCGGCUGGAUCACCUC
rnacentral:rRNA from 1 species